rnacentral:lncRNA from 1 species
GUGCCUUGUGGGGUGGCCGCCCGCGGAAAUUUGAAAUGAUCGCUUGCUGCCGUGUGGCAGUCUGGGGCCUGUGGGGAUCGCACCAGGGCUCCCUGAUUGAGAAGCCGAGGAGGAGAAAGAAAUUUUCCAAGCAAGUCAGCUUUUGUUUUGGGAAUGAGUCAGAGACUACCAAGACUAUAUUUUAGGUGAGUAGUUUCUCUUUUUUGCUUCUUUUAUCUUUUCAGUUUACAAAAAUUAGAUUUUACCUUAGUCCCAAUUGCCAGUAGUUGGUUCUGAAAAAGUGAAUUUCAAUAGAUUUAUUAACUUCUCUGUGUUAUGCUUUCUCAAUUCUUAUUGUGUUUAAUUUGUUUGUAGCUGACUGCAAGGUCUCUGAAGUAAGGGGAUUCAUAGCGGAGUUCUUGGAGAAAGUCCUUGAACCAUCUGGAUGGCAGGCAUUCUGGCACACUGAUGUGCUUGAGGUACUGGUCCAGUGAUCUGUGGUCUGGUAUGAAGGUAACUGUUAUUGUUUGUCCUGGCCAUUAUGUGGUACAUGGCACAUUCUUCAUUGGUGACCUCAUUGAAUUAGAAGUGUUACAGGACUUCUUAAGUGAACAUUGUGGCAUUCCCAAAAUACCCAUGGUAAAUAAUAUCAUGUGUAAUAACGAAGAUUAUGAUGUUUUGGUGAUACCUUCCAUUUUCUCUUACCUGCAAGAAAAUGCCCAAGAUGAAAUUGAAGGUCUUGAUUGUUGAACACAGAAAAGGCCAUGUCCAGCAGUUGGGUCACAGAUGUCUGUAACUCCAUUUUAAGUUUUUGUAGUUUACAUCAAAUAUCUGAGGCUGAUUAACAGAUGAAAUGAUGUCCCAUUAGUGCGUCUCCCUCCCUGGAAGAUAUAUCUAUAUUAGUAUAUUUACCAAAGACUCAACGCACCUCUUUAUCUCCCUAGUAAGAGCAGCUAGCUUAUUAGACAUCAUUUCUAGCCCAUGACUAGUAUUAUAAUCCCAGUUU